GGCCAUUGCCUCAGCUCUGCCAUCAGCCUCUGUAUGACUUGGCCCCUCCCUGGGACCCCAUUUUCUCAAUUAUGAAAAGAAGAUGUGAACUCGGUGAUCCUUCAGAAGUUCUUGCAACUGAUCUUUUGAAAGGACCUGAGGAUAUGGGAGGCUCAGCAAGAGGUGGAAGGGGUGAGGUUAGCCGUACUUCUUUGCAACCAUCUGCCCAGACCUCAAUACUCAGAUGUGGAUCCAUCCUUCAAUUUACAGUGUCCCAUAAUCCUCCUGGGUAGCUGCUUCAGAUGGAUUGCGCAAGCCUUUAUGUUAAAUGUGCACCUGAGAUUAUGCUCAAUCAGUACCCGAAUGUGCACAAAGUUUCUCCCAAGGGACAUCAAGUGAACAUGAG
rnacentral:lncRNA from 1 species